rnacentral:rRNA from 1 species
CCUACGGGGCGCAGCAGUGGGGAAUAUUGGGCAAUGGGCGCAAGCCUGACCCAGCAACGCCGCGUGAAGGAAGAAGGCUUUCGGGUUGUAAACUUCUUUUCUGAGGGACGAAGAAAGUGACGGUACCUCAGGAAUAAGCCACGGCUAACUACGUGCCAGCAGCCGCGGUAAUACGUAGGUGGCAAGAGUUAUCCGGAUUUAUUGGGUGUAAAGGGCGUGUAGGCGGGAAAGCAAGUCAGAUGUGAAAACUCAGGGCUCAAACCUGAGCAUGAAUUUGAAACUGGUUUUCUUGAGUGCUGGAGAGGCAAUCGGAAUUCCGUGUGUAGCGGUGAAAUGCGUAGAUAUACGGAGGAACACCAGUGGCGAAGGCGGAUUGCUGGACAGUAACUGACGCUGAGGCGCGAAAGCGUGGGGAGCAAACAGGAUUAGAUACCCCAGUAGUC